UACGUAGGGUGCAAGCGUUGUCCGGAAUUAUUGGGCGUAAAGAGCUCGUAGGCGGUUUGUCGCGUCUGCUGUGAAAACGCGAGGCUCAACCUCGCGCCUGCAGUGGGUACGGGCAGACUAGAGUGCGGUAGGGGAGAUUGGAAUUCCUGGUGUAGCGGUGGAAUGCGCAGAUAUCAGGAGGAACACCGGUGGCGAAGGCGGGUCUCUGGGCCGAAAUUGACGCUGAGGAGCGAAAGCGUGGGGAGCGAACAGG
rnacentral:rRNA from 1 species